CAGUCGCCGCGGGAAUACGAAGGGGGCUAGCGUUGCUCGGAAUGACUGGGCGUAAAGGGCGCGUAGGCGGUUUUGACAGUCAGAUGUGAAAUUCCUGGGCUUAACCUGGGGGCUGCAUUUGAGACGUCAAGACUAGAGUGUGAGAGAGGGUUGUGGAAUUCCCAGUGUAGAGGUGAAAUUCGUAGGUAUUGGGAAGAACACCGGUGGCGAAGGCGGCAACCUGGCUCAUUACUGGCGCUGAGGCGCGAAAGCGUGGGGAGCAAACAGGAUUAGAUACCCCCGUAGUCCCUGUCUCUUAUAC
rnacentral:rRNA from 1 species